AGUGAACGCUGGCGGUAGGCCUAACACAUGCAAGUCGAACGGCAGCACAGUAAGAGCUUGCUCUUACGGGUGGCGAGUGGCGGACGGGUGAGGAAUACAUCGAAACUUAUUUUUCGGUGGGGGAAACCGUGGGGAAAUUACGCUAAUACCCGAUACGACCUUCGGGUGAAAGCCAGGGAACUUCGGACCUUUGGCGAUUGAAUGAGCCGAUGUCGGAUUAGCUAGUUGGCGGGGUAAAGGCCCACCAAGGCGACGAUCCGUAGCUGGUCUGAGAGGAUGAUCAGCCACACUGGAACUGAGACACGGUCCAGACUCCUACGGGAGGCAGCAGUGGGGAAUAUUGGACAAUGGGCGCAAGCCUGAUCCAGCCAUACCGCGUGGGUGAAGAAGGCCUUCGGGUUGUAAAGCCCUUUUGUUGGGAAAGAAAAGCAGCAGGUUAAUACCCCGCUGUUCUGACGGUACCCAAAGAAUAAGCACCGGCUAACUUCGUG
rnacentral:rRNA from 1 species